UACGAAGGGGGCUAGCGUUGCUCGGAAUCACUGGGCGUAAAGCGCACGUAGGCGGCUUUUUAAGUCAGGGGUGAAAUCCUGGAGCUCAACUCCAGAACUGCCUUUGAUACUGGGAAGCUUGAGUCCGGAAGAGGUGAGUGGAACUCCGAGUGUAGAGGUGAAAUUCGUAGAUAUUCGGAAGAACACCAGUGGCGAAGGCGGCCCCCUGGUUGGAUACUGACGCUGAUACGCGAAAGCGUGGGGAGCAAACAGG
rnacentral:rRNA from 1 species